GUCCUAGAAAAUCCCGCGCCGCCGUUGGCCGAAACGUGGACCGCGGCCCGCCUCCUUUUUUCGGCCGCGGCCAAUCGGCUCUCCUCGCCUACGACCGCGGACGCCCGUGAUUGGCUCCGCGAACGCAGACCGCGGCGGCCCGCCUCCUCCUUACGACGCGCCUGCGGUUGGCCCAAAAGACGCAAUCGGCGAAAAGACCCACGCGCUCAAUCGACAAGCCGAAAAGUGUACAUCAGAAGCGAUGACCGGCCACCACGCUUUGCUGCCUAAACUGCGCUUGAGAAGUACAUGUACAAACAAGGUAGGAAAAACUGCCUUGCCGUCACCGCAGCUCCAACAGGCCAGCAGAUCCCCGGCCAGCUCACGGUGACCUUUGGGAAAUACAAAGGCAAGACCUUCAUGUGGCUUAUGGAGGAAGAUGUCG